CGAACGCUGGCGGCAUGCCUAACACAUGCAAGUCGAACGAGACCUUCGGGUCUAGUGGCGCACGGGUGCGUAACGCGUGGGAACCUGCCCUUAGGUUCGGAAUAACUCCCCGAAAGGGGUGCUAAUACCGGAUAAUGUCUUCGGACCAAAGAUUUAUCGCCUUUGGAUGGGCCCGCGUUGGAUUAGCUAGUUGGUAGGGUAAAAGCCUGCCAAGGCGACGAUCCAUAGCUGGUCUGAGAGGAUGAUCAGCCACACUGGGACUGAGACACGGCCCAGACUCCUACGGGAGGCAGCAGUGGGGAAUAUUGGACAAUGGGCGAAAGCCUGAUCCAGCAAUGCCGCGUGAGUGAUGAAGGCCUUAGGGUUGUAAAGCUCUUUUACCCGGGAUGAUAAUGACAGUACCGGGAGAAUAAGCUCCGGCUAACUCCGUG
rnacentral:rRNA from 1 species